GUUUGUUGUUUCAUUUGAACAUUAAUCAAACUUUGUACUCACAUGGCAAUUCUAGUUUAGUCCCAGGAAUAGCUUUAGUAUUGCUAAGUGUCUGGAGAGUAUUGACUAACAGAGACAUGAUUUUAAGCAGGCUAUAAUAGUUUCUGCAGCUGUUAACAGUUCUCAGAAGAAAGGCUGUAUUAUUCAUCGGUAUUUAAAAUGUGCAUGACUUGCAUUGCACAGAAGUCAGAUUGGGAGAAUGUCAGAAUUUUUUUUUCUGAAAUUCUGCCAGGAAAGUCUUCAAUAACUGGAGAAAUUCUUUUCACUGGUGAAAUCAACAUGCAGCACAUUGUGUUAUUAUACUUGCUUAUAGCUCACCAUGAAAGUUGUCUUUGUAUGCGUGGAUGUACGGCUUGUACUGUUUUGUUUUUAUUUAUUCUGCAUUCUUUAUUAUAAUGUUCUUUCCUUUUUUCCAGACUAGAAAGAUUGUUAUUGAGCCUUCCACAAAGCUGAAAUAAUGCUGUAUGUUAAAAAAAUGUUAACAAUUCGAAGAAGUUAUAAAAAUUUAUAAGUUGACUGAAUACUUUGGAAAUUUCUGCAUAUUUUAAUAUAAAUAGGUGCUGGUGGCAUGUGGAACUGAAAGCAGUGAAAGUCCAAAGGACUAGGGCACCAGAGGAGGUCACCAGGAGCUCUCAUGCCUUAUAAGCCCUGCAGGAAAGAGAAAGGGAGACUGAUUCAUUGGUUGAUGAAAGCCUCUAGCACAGGUUCAUCCCCUUUGUGCUGCAGCUCUUGGUCAUCCCAUUCAGCAUGGACAAAAAGGCUGCACAGCAUUCAGCCUCACUGCCACUCCCAGGGAAAGAGCCCAGGCCUUGUGUGAUUCAAGCUGGUCACCCUAGCCUGCUGAAGACCAAAUCCCUGUCCUGAGGACCUUGGUGAAGUUGUGACCAUAUCAGCUACUUCUUGGUUCCUGCCAAAGGCCUCUGGCUGCCCAUUCAGCUGUGUGUAAAAACAUCUUUCUGCCAAGGAAGAAACUGUGUCCUCCUGCUACUCUUGCUUUGUGGUGUAUCUCUCCACAGCACAUACAGCCUGGUUAACUUAUAAGCCUAAGAAGUAUAAGAAGUAGGAUCCUACAGGGAGUUGCACAGGACAAAGUGCUGAGAUAAAGGGACAUGUCAUACCACACAGCUGGAUGUUUCAGAGCCAGUCAAACUGCCUGGACCUGUUCCAGUGGGCCUUGAACAGCCCUCUGAUGGACAUGGCAGAACCCUCACUGCAGAAAGGGCAGCUGCUCUGGGAAUACCGGAGCACUAGGUCUGUGCAUGUUCUGGAAGAACUCUGAGAAAAAGAGGGCUGCUGUGAGUCUCACUUCACUGUCAUCAAGUUAUUUCUACUGGACAGUGUGAAAAACAAAUCAGGAAUUCUUAGAUGCCAUCUCUUGGAGAGAAUGAAUCUGGAUUCAGUGCAGCUGGAUGUAGAAAGCUAAGGCCUAGCAACAACUGCAGGGUGCAGUUACUACUUCAUCUUCUUUUUGUAGGAGGUGUGAAGAACACUUGUCCAUUCGUAACUGAAACUAUUCAAGAUGCAUGGGCCUGAAAAAGCACUAUAAUUUCUCCUGCUCUCUGGUGUAGUAAAGCUCUUGUCUUCUAGCAAACAUUAUGAAUGAAAGCUUUUGUUACAAGGAGAGAUGGAGUAGGCUGAAUCAAGCCUCUGUCAAGAACCACUGCUGAAAUACUGAAUUAACAUACCCAAGACCAGCACAUCAGGAGGAUGGCCUUCUGCCAAGGAUAGUGUGAAGAUACACCUUGCAUUUGGACAGACACAGUGUGAAGAUACACCUUGCAUUUGGACAGACACAGUGCAUCCUCAGAAGGCACAGAUGUUGCUGCUCUCUGAGCACUGCAUGCGCUGAUAUUUGUGACUGAUGGAAAUAAUUCCCAGUGUUGGGGAGCUUGGUGUUAUGGGAGACAGUUACAGCAGCUCAUAAUAGGGUGGCUUAUUGCUUUCUUGUGGAGCCAGGUACAGCUUCUGUUCUCUUUUGCAUGUGCAAAUCUGGUAUAAUAUUAAUUAGAUUGUCAUUAGAUUUCAUUAGUGAAGCUCCAUAAAACAAAAAAAAGGCAAGCUUCUAUAGUGAUGCUAAAACUUAGUAUGAGAUUUAUAUGAAGGGGGUGAACAGAGAUCAGUAGCCAUGAAAAACUGCUUUUUCCAGAAAUAUGAAAUAUUUAGGUAAAAUAUCUAGGUAAAAUUUAACAGAAAUUUGAUUACUGCCUGAUAAAAUGGUGCCUCUUCCCUUCAAAUAGGUUCAGGCAUCUCCUUAAUGCAAGCCCUGCGCCUUCACCUAGAUUCCUUCCCAGGCAGCUACAGGGGAUCUGCUCACCAAGGGAAUUUGUCCCACUGGAUUCCUUUUUUUUUUUCUGUGCAGUUGAAUGAAAAGUGUGUGUCUUUUGAAGAGCAGCAACUGAAAGAAAUAUUGAUGACUGCCGGGGCAUCUACAGAAAAAGAUAAGAAAAUUACUGCAACAGUGAAGACAAAGGGGCUUUGUUAACUCUUUCUUGUAGGUUGUAUAUAUUAAUAUACAAGUAACAAGUAAAGUUUUGUAUUUUUUCAGAAAAACACACAAGGCCUUGAAUUGUAUUGUUUUAAUUGCCGCUAACUGAAUGAAUUAAGUGGAAAAUCACACACAGUGCUUUGAGUGUCUAAUUCUCAGUAUGUGAGGCUUUGGGAACAGUUUGUUAUUAUAAAAGAAUAGCACUAACCAGAAAUCAGCCAACAUGUAAUUGCUAGGCUGGGGGGCAGUUUGGGGAAAGCUGAUACUUAUAAAUAAAGUUAUUAAAUAAAAGCACAUAAUAUGAG